GACGAACGCUGGCGGCGUGCUUAACACAUGCAAGUCGAACGGAAAGGCCCUGCUUGCAGGGUACUCGAGUGGCGAACGGGCGAGUAACACGUGGGUGGUCUGCCCUGCACUUCGGGAUAAGCCUGGGAAACUGGGUCUAAUACCGGAUAGGAGACAUUUUUAGUGGGAUGGUUGGAAAGUUUUUUCGGUGUAGGAUGAGCUCGCGGCGUAUCAGCUUGUUGGUGGGGUAAUGGCCUACCGAGGCGGCGACGGGUAGCCGGCCUGAGGGGGUGGACGGCCACAUUGGGUCUGAGAUACGGCCCAGACUCCGACGGGAGGCAGCAGUGGGGAAUCUUGCACAAGGGGCGCAAGCCUGAUGCAGCGACGCCGCGGGGGGGAAGACGGCCUUCGGGUUGUAAACUCAUUUCGCUAGGGACGAAGCUUUUUGUGACGGUACCUAGAGAAGAAGCACCGGCUAACUACGUG
rnacentral:rRNA from 1 species